rnacentral:rRNA from 1 species
CACGUAGGGCGCAAGCGUUGUCCGGAAUUAUUGGACGUAAAGAGCUCGUAGGCGGUCUGUUGCGUCCGCUGUGAAAACUCGGGGCUUAACCCCGAGCCUGCAGUGGAUACGGGCAGACUAGAGGUAGGUAGGGGAGAAUGGAAUUCCCGGCGUAGCGGUGAAAUGCGCAGAUAUCAGGAGGAACACCGGUGGCGAAGGCGGGUCUCUGGGCCGAUACUGACGCUGAGGAGCGAAAGCGUGGGGAGCGAACAGG